UCCUGGCUAAGAUGGCGGCGCUCGGGGUCCCGUGCGGUGGCCGUCCUGAGUGCCACCGCCCUGGGCGGCUUGGAGCCGCCCCGUUCGAAAGAACCGCCCCCAGCCGCUGCUCCACAGCCGCGUAGUAGACAAGCCCAGGCCCCGCCUGGGACGGCAGCCGCACCAUGGACGUUCCUAGCUCUUCCAGCUCCCGCUUCUCGGUCGGCUCGGCCAGCCCCGGCGCUGUGCUCGUCUACGCGAAAGAGCUCAAAAAGUGGGAUGAGUUUGAAGAUAUCUUAGAGGAGAGGAGGCAUGCCAGUGACUUGAAAUUUGCCAUGAAGUGCUACACCCCCCCCUUGUAUAGGGGAGUCAUCCCCUGCAAGCCAAGUGAUAUCAAGUCCAUUGUUCUCAAUUCUGAAGAGAUGCACUAUGUCAUUAAGCAGCUUUCCAGGGAGUCCCUCACAUCUGCCGAUGCCCUCCGAGAGGAAGCCAGGGAGAUCCUGGAGGAAAUGAGCCACAGACUGCGCAUGGGAGCCAUCCGCUUCUUUGCCUUUGUCCUGAGCAAAGUCUUUAAACAGAUUUUCUCAAAGGUGUGUGUGAAUGAAGAAGGCAUUCAAAAGCUACAACGAGCUGUCCAGGAGCACCCUGUAGUCCUGCUGCCCAGUCAUCGGAGCUACAUUGACUUCCUCAUGCUGUCUUUUGUUCUGUACAACUAUGAUCUUCCUGUGCCAGUUAUUGCAGCGGGAAUGGAUUUCCUGGGAAUGAAAUUGGUUGGUGAGCUACUCAGAAUGUCUGGGGCCUUCUUCAUGCGGCGCACCUUUGGUGGAAAUAAACUGUACUGGGCUGUGUUCUCCGAAUAUGUGAAGACCAUGCUACGGAAUGGUUAUGCUCCUGUUGAAUUUUUCCUCGAAGGGACAAGGAGUCGCUCAGCCAAGACCUUGACUCCUAAAUUUGGUCUUCUGAAUAUUGUGAUGGAACCAUUUUUUAAAAGAGAAGUUUUUGAUACCUACUUUGUUCCCAUUAGCAUCAGUUAUGAUAAAAUAUUGGAAGAAACUCUGUAUGCCUGUGAGCUCCUAGGAAUUCCUAAGCCAAAGGAAUCCACCACUGGGUUGUUGAAAGCUAGACGGAUUCUCUCUGAGAACUUUGGAAGCAUCCAUGUAUACUUUGGAGAUCCUGUGUCACUGCGUUCUCUAGCUGCAGGACGGCUCAGUCGGAACACGUAUAACUUGGUGCCAAGAUACAUUCCUCAGAAACAAUCCGAGGAUGUGCACGCCUUUGUCACUGAAGUCGCCUAUAGGAUACAGCUUCUGCAAAUUGAAAACCUGGUUCUGAACCCAUGGCUUCUGGUAGUUGCCAUUCUACUUCAAAACCAGUUAUCCAUGGACUUUGACACCCUGGUGGAGAAGACACUGUGGCUAAAGGGCUUGACCCAGGUGUUUGGAGGGUUCCUGCUUUGGCCUGAUAACCAGCUUCCUGAGGAAGUGGUCCAAUCCAGCAUCCUCCUGCACUCCAACCUGGCCAGCCUUGUCAAAGACCGGGUGAUUCUGAAAGUGGACUUUGAAGGCUCAGAAAUGGUCAGAGGAGUUGUGCUCCAUCACAUCACCUUCCUCAUGUGCUCGGCCUACAAGAACCAGCUGCUCAACGUUUUUGUCCGUCCUUCCUUAGUAGCUGUAGCCUUGCAGAUGACACCUGGGUUCAGGAAAGAGGAUGUCUUCAGUUGCUUUUCCUUCCUACGCAAUGUGUUUUCAGAUGAGUUCAUCUUCCUCCCAGAAAACACACUCAGGGACUUUGAGGAAGGCUGUUACUUGCUGUGUAAAACUGAGGCUAUACAGAUGGCUGGGAAGGACAUCAUCAUCACAGACAAAGGGAGCACUGUGUUAGAAUUUCUCAUAGGGCUCCUUAAACCUUUUGUGGACUCAUACCAGAUACUUUCCAAAUACCUCUUGCAUGAAGAAGGGGACUGCUUUACUGAGAGACAGUACUUGGUUGCAGCUAGGAAGUUCACCAGUCAGCUUCUGGAUCGAGGUGCCUCUCAGUGUUAUGACGCACUGUCUUCUGACCUGCAGAAAAAUGCCUUAGCAGCUUUCGUGAGACUCGGGGUGGUAGAAAAGAAGAAGGUAGAUAAUAGCAUCGUGUUUAGUGUGAACGAAUCUGCCACAAGCAAAUUAGAAGAAAUGCUUGGAUGUAAGACGCCCAUAGGAAAACCAGUCACUGCAAAACUUUAGUAAUCAUGAAGCGGUUGUGGAAAAUCCAGUUCCACGUGACAGUCACAAAGGACUCACUGCCACAAAUGGACAUAGAGAGGAGGAUGUGUUUUCCAUCUCCGAGACCUUGUGAGCCGUACUUCUGCCAAGAGGAGGAAACGGCCAGCAUGUGACGGAUUGUGCAGCAGAAGCUUUGGCCCCUCACUGUGCAGAAAUAGACUAAGGAGGGGACCCAGGUGAGUAUUCACAGCCCAGCCUGGAGCUGGGAGCAUGAGCAUGACAGGGUUCUCUCCUGAGCUCCAUGCGGGUCCCAGUCAAAACACAGGUGUAUUAAGAACAUUGUGUAUGCUUACCUGUGGGCUGUGUGUUCGUGUCUAGACUUAGGUCAUAUCUUUAAGACAUUUUGUUUUAGAUCAGCAGAUCUUCCAAACUCUAAAAAGCAGACCAGUUCAGUGCUCUUUGUCAGAGUAUUCAAUAACUUGUUCUUAUUGAACAACAAAAAAAUGACCUUUAGAUUGUACACACUUCCUUCCAUUGUAAGCAUUUUGGAUAAGGGACGCAACCUGUACCUUAUAUUUCUACUUUAAUUAAGUUGACUCAAGUACAAAUUCAACAGAAGUGUAUAAUAAACUAUCUAGUUUAAAUUUUAUACCCAGUAGUCUCAUGAACAAGUUGAACUAAGCGAAGUGUGAACAACAAAGAGAUGUUUACAUGAUGUGACAUGAAUAUACGUGGAAAGAGGAGGAGUUUGAAGCGAAACAGGACAGCUCUGCAAGUUAGUCCCUCUGGAAGUGACCUGUGACCCCAGCAUUGGUGGAACUAUAUCAGGGAGUGGGGCUGGGUAAUAGAGGAAAAGACUAUGGGUGUGUGCAGAGAGAAUCGUGGUUUUACAUAGGCCCUUGGGGGCUGCCAGAGCAGAAAGCAGGACCUGCGGAAUGCAUCUAGCCUUGAAUUUCUUGUACUCUGAGAGCUGAAGUCCAAGAUGAAGGUGCAUCCACAGCAGGCUCAUCUUGGCUUUGGACAUGACUGCUAACUCUCCAUGGGACUCGGGAGAAAGUAGGCUGGAUAUGGUGGUACAGAAUCCAGCAGGAGGCUCAUCAUGAGGAGCUCUCCCUCAGUAUAUGAAUCUAGGCUACAGCUCAAUCAUCGGGGAUAGGCAUUUUAAUGUAAGAACCAAGGAGGGUCACUGAGAAGCCCAGUAUGGUCCUUUCUCCUAAUUCCCCAGGUGGUGCCUCUAUUCCCAGGGCCUAUGACAGCCAUUGCUGCACUGGCCCACAAGUGACAGGCCCUAUGGCAACAUUUGCUGCUUUGAGAAGCUAGAGGGGAUUCCCGCAUGUUGAAAUGAGCAGGGCCAUUGAACAGUGGUCCUGGCAGUGGACUCUGGUGGGCAGAUUACAGGUCCAUCAGCCACUGUCAGCUGCCACACCUAAGCACACUCUUCUGACCUGAGCUGAGCUGUUCACCAGCCAGGUGCUGGCCUUGAACUCACCAGGUGGCUGAAGAUGAAUGAGCUUCAGGUCCUCCUGACUCCACCUCAGUGCUGAGAGAGACUACAGGCACGCACCACCAUGCUGGUUUAUACAGUGCUUCUGCAGUGCUGGGGAUUAAACUCGGACCUUUGUGCACGCUAGGCAAGCACUGUACUAUACCUUAUCCCAGGCUCAAAAAAGGUACCUCCAGGAAAAUGGUGCGGAAAAUUGAAGUCAACCAGCACACUACGUUUAGAGCCUUCGGUGGCAAGACCAAGCAGAAGAGACAGACUGGGCAUCUGGCAUCGUGGUUCCUGCAUAAAAAUAGUGGCCAGAGGGACUUAGAUCUACAGUGCCAUAUCUGUGGCACCGUCGGGUCUGCCACCAGAGACUGAAAGGCCAGUAGAAGCACUGCUAUUGGAGAGCUCUAGCUUACAGUACAUGGGUUAAUAUAAAUGACAAAAGGGGGACUGUU